rnacentral:rRNA from 1 species
CCUACGGGAGGCAGCAGUUAGGAAUCUUCGGCAAUGGGGGAAACCCUGACCGAGCGACACUGCUUGGGAGGAUGAAGGUUUUCGGAUCGUAAACUCCUGAACGAGGGACGAAUAAUGACGGUACCUCGCUAAUAGCACCGGCUAACUCCGUGCCAGCAGCCGCGGUAAUACGGAGGGUGCAAGCGUUAUCCGGAAUCACUGGGCGUAAAGGGCGCGUAGGCGGUUUGUUAAGUCCGAUGUUAAAGCGUGAGGCUCAACCUCAUCACGGCGUUGGAUACUGGCGAGCUGGACGGUUGGAGAGGAAGGUAGAAUUACCAGUGUAGCGGUGGAAUGCGUAGAUACUGGUAGGAAUACCCAUUGCGAAGGCAGCCUUCUGGACAACACGUGACGCUGAGGCGCGAAAGUGUGGGGAGCAAACCGGAUUAGAUACCCGGGUAGUCCACACCCUAAACGAUGCAUACUUGGUGUCGGCCCGUUGGGGUCGGUGCCGGAGCUAACGCGUAAGUAUGCCGCCUGGCAAGAAGCCACCUUGGU